rnacentral:lncRNA from 1 species
GGAUUGGGCAAAGGCAGACAGCAAGCAGCAGCAGGUGAUUUUUGCAGGAGUGUUUUUUUAAAGAAGAAAAAGGGGAGUCUGUGCUAGGAUCAAGAUGUAGAACUCUCAGCUCCUUGUCCAGCACCAUGCCUGCCUCCACACUGCCAUGCUUCUGACUGUGAUGAUAAGGGACUGAACCCCUGAAACUCUAUUACAGACCCUGGUCAGGAAGAGUGGCCAUGCUUUUCCAAGACCAAAAUUAUCAGCUCAACUGGUGUUGUUUCCAGGAACUGCUCCUUCCCCUCACCCUGUCCACACAGAGAGAAAGUGAAAUAGACAAAGGACAAGAGGCCAAGCAGAGAACAUCCCUGGGCUAAUCAGCCAUAGCCAAAAGGUAGGCAUACAGCAGCCAAAGGGCCCUUUCAGAGAGGAGAGCCUAUGGGUUGGACUUGUCUGUA